UACAGAGGGUGCAAGCGUUAAUCGGAAUUACUGGGCGUAAAGGGUGCGUAGGUGGUUUGAUAAGUUAGGUGUGAAAGUCCUGGGCUUAACCUGGGGACUGCGCUUAAUACUGUCGAGCUAGAGUACUGUAGAGGAAGGUGGAAUUUCCGGUGUAGCGGUGAAAUGCGUAGAUAUCGGAAGGAACAUCAGUGGCGAAGGCGACUUUCUGGACAGAUACUGACACUGAGGCACGAAAGCAUGGGGAGCAAACAGG
rnacentral:rRNA from 1 species